UCCUCGCGUCUCACUCCCGCACCAGCCACCACACAACCCUAGGUCCCCUUUGACUUUGUUCCCCGCUCGCUCGUCCCUCGCCUCUCCUCAUCCCUCCUAUGCUCCAGCUACUACGCCGCCUCUCCCUCCACAACGCGACCAGCUCGAGCUCCACCUCCUCCAUCUCAAGGAGACAAAUGCACAAGACGCCUGGCACCGUCACCAUCGUCCUCGGCACAAGUGAAGCACGGGAUACCGAGAUGCUUGUUGCAUCGUCGUCGUGCUUUCUCUCGCUGCCACCACCACCCCGACCGAGACAUCCCCGUGCUCUCGCUGAGCCUUCCCCUCUGGGCCCACUGACCCAGGUGGCGGAGAAGGAGAGGGUGAGCUCGAGGGGCAGGCAAGGAAGGAGGGGGUGACAGGGUCGGAUCUGGUGGCGGCAGAUUGGAGCUCAAGCUCGAGGCGGAGACAAGGAAGGUCAGAAAAUGGAGAGACGGGAUGAAGGUGCUCGAGGCGAAGGACCGCUCAUCAGCGAGUUCGAACUGGAGGCGGCGAGAUCCCUUUCCCAAUCUCUCACUCUCUCGAUUUUUCCCUCUCCAAACAUUCAUCUCUGUUCUCAUGUGUUGCACACGUCUACUCUCCCUCCACAACCAGCACUAGCGGCCUGCAUCCCCCAUCAAGCGUGCAUCGGUGCUGGAUGUGCAAGCUUCAACAACCGCAUCAACAACGAUGGUGGGCAAGCAAGGAGCGAGACGGUGGUCACGAUUUUCAGUCUGAAGUUGCUUUUAUGAACUAUCAGUCAACCGAAGCAGUUGAAGGGAAUGGUAACCAAAUCCACCUUUGUUGGUCAUGGAUUUAGAAGAAAGCCAACAGAGUAUGAAAAGGUUCUCAUGGGACUCACCCUGAACUGAAAUCUCCGUUCAACCUUGAAAAUACUUGAUUUAUGUUGAUGAGGACAUCAAUACCAUUGUUACACCCACAAUCCCUGC